rnacentral:hammerhead_ribozyme from 1 species
AUCCAGCUGGCGAGUCCCAAAUAGGACGAAACACGCGUCCUGGAU